rnacentral:lncRNA from 1 species
GGACACCGCGCGGUGUCGGGGAGGCCCCGGGCGGAGGUUGUGGGCGGUCCGCGCCGCCUUGCGCGGAAAAAGCACCUCCAUAGUUCCCAGCUCCGCGGCCCGCCCCCUCCCUCUCAGCGCCGUGGCCGCUAUAGAAGGGCUGGCGCGGCAGCACAGCCAGCGGCAGUACGGUGCCUGUCCUCGGCAGUGCUGCCUUUAUCUCCACGUUUAUCACAGGGUUGCUGCCGUUCACCUUUCAUACAUCUUUUUUCCCCACGCUGUUUGUGGAGAAAACAGAUGGAGUGAUCCUAUGGGGUGAUUGUAAGCCUCUUGAGUCUCCGCACCUUCGUGACUUCAACACAGUUCCCAAGUAAUACAGGUCUGUUAUUAAACUGUCCAUGUCAUUCUGGGUUGUUGGGUUUGGGGUUUUUUUUUCAACAGCCCUAUUUGCAGCAUAAGAUAGGAGACAGUGGAAAAACCGUUAAGGAAAAAAUUACACUGAAGUUAUAAAAGGAAAUAAAGUCCACUGUUUGGUACUGACUUAACA